UUAUGGCUCAGGAUGAACGCUGGCGGCGUGCCUAACACAUGCAAGUCGAACGGGACUAUUAAGCGAUGUUUCGGACUGAACUUUUAGUUAGUGGCGGACGGGUGAGUAACGCGUGGAUAACCUGCCUUUCACAGGGGGAUAGCAGCUGGAAACGGCUGGUAAUACCGCAUACGCUCAUAUCACCGCAUGGUGGUGUGAGGAAAGAUUUAUCGGUGAAAGAUGGAUCUGCGUCUGAUUAGCCAGUUGGCGGGUAACGGCCCACCAAAGCGACGAUCAGUAGCCGGCCUGAGAGGGCGGACGGCCACAUUGGGACUGAGACACGGCCCAGACUCCUACGGGAGGCAGCAGUGGGGGAUAUUGCACAAUGGGCGCAAGCCUGAUGCAGCGAACCGCCGCGUGAGUGAAGAAGUAUUUCGGUAUGUAAAGCUCUAUCAGCAGGGAAGAAAGGCCCUUUUAGGGAGAUGACGGUACCUGACUAAGAAGCCCCGGCUAACUACGUGCCAGCCGCCGC
rnacentral:rRNA from 1 species